GAUAGAAGCAAGAAAAUAUAAGGACAAGAACUGAUUAUUUUUCAACAGAACAAAAUAUGUUCACUCUGAAAUGGAAGCACUAAAUUUCAAAUUGCUAACUCAAAACAACAAAAUAUCCAACAAGCAAAGAAAUUAUGCACCCAAAGAAAAGGAGCUGGAUAAUUAAGUUUUAAAAAGUACUAUUUAUUCUUCACUUGAAUCAAGCUGCUUUGAAUUCACAUAAUGAGUAAAGUUAAAGAAAAUUUACAACCUUUGGGCCACUGUGCAAUAAUCUUUUCUUUAAGAGUAUCAACUCUGGUGUUAGGCAUAUACUUGUUGGGUCCAAUAUCACUGCCAUCAGCAAGCCUGAAUUUGAUCUCAAUCAACUCUUUUGCAGCCAUCUCUCUAUAUCAAUCUCUCACAAUGAUCAAAUAUGAUCCACCACACAAAUCAAUUCCACUUCAAAGAACAAUCAUGAGGUCAAAAAAUCCAACAAAUCAAAUUAAUGAAAGACUCAAUUUUGGCCAAGACCCACUACAAACUUCUCACAACCAGACCCCAAUCCAAGAAAAUAUCAAUAAUAAACUUUUUGAUUCACCCCCUUUCUUCAAAAUCUAGAAAUAACUCUUUUGCAGCCAUCUCUCUACAUCAAUCUCUCACAACGAUCAAAUAUAAUCCACCACACAAAUCAAUUCCCACUUCAAAGAACAAUCAUGGGGUCAAAAAUUCCAAGAAAAUCCAACAAAUCAAAUGCUUAGAUUAAUAAAAGACUCAAUUUUGGCCAAGACCCACUAUAAACUUCUCACAACCAGACCCAAAUCCAAGAAAAUAUCAAUAAUAAACUUUUUGAUUCACCCCCUUUUUCAAAAUCUAGGAAAAAACCCAAAUAGCAAUUCACUAAAAAGCUUGCAACAAAGUGGUUGAUUUCAGAAAAGGAGCAGAUUUUAUGGGAAAAAGUUUCAAGAAAUGAAUAUUUGGAAAAUGAAGAAUAGAGUGAAAAGAAGAUGAAUGAAUCAAAACCAAGGCGUCAGCUGAAAGAGUGAGAAACUUGUUUGUUUCGUUGGUGCUAUAUAUAAAUUGCUUGAUGGUGAAAGAAAGAUAGAAAACGAAAAAGAAUCAAAUUGGAAAGUUUAAAAUGUAAGAUUAUUUAACUAAUGAUUUGGAAAGCGAAACUUGUUCCUUCGUCG
rnacentral:lncRNA from 1 species